UCCUUUUUAAGAUAUUUCUUGGGGUUUCCAAGUGGUUUGAGGUUUAGAAAAUCUUGAAGAGAUUGUUUUCGCCGAAAAGUUGCUCGGAUAAGCACAUCAAUACCUAAGACACCACUUGUUACACGGUGAACUAUAUUUUGGACAAAAGGUAGAGAAAGAAAUAUGUGAAUGAUAUGAGGAGAACUGAAGCAUGGUCCUGACCCUGAUUUGUACAUAUGAACACAUCGACCUUUUGUGGGUUAUUUCAGUUAUCAGUGAGAUGUUUGUAAUAAAGUGUGAAGUUAUGUUUUGAAAACAAACUGGGUUAUUUAAUACUUAUGUAUAAUAUGUU